AUAAAAAAACAAAAAUGAAAACGCGUUCACAUUAAAAACCAUCGAUUUUUACUGUCGAAGGGUGAAAACCGUAAAAUACAUACUCUCAGUAAAUCUGGAAGUUUCCAUGAUUUCCGACUUUCCCUCUGUCAAAUCUUCACGAUGAUUCAUGUGUAGAACAAGGUUGAAUCUCAGAUGACUCAUAUCUUCUCCACAAAGAAUCGCAACACUGUGAAGAAUACCCCUGCGGAAUCGAAGAAGAACUGGGUUUUGUUCAAUUUCUGGGCAAACGGAACUCGACAUCGAAGAAGCACACGUUCAUACUUCAUAGCUCCAAAUCUCUUCUGGUGAUUUUCAGCUCUGGCGCCCUUGGUGAUUUCCAGCUCUGGCGUCCUUGGUCAGCUCUGACUGCGUAGUAAUAUGAUAAUAUUCAGAUGUUAUAUCGUAUGUAUUCACAUGGAUGUCAACAUUAUUCAGAACUUAUUGUGUGAUAUUCAGUACUGAAUAAUAUUUAUUCAGAACUUAUUCGAUUAAUAAUAAAGUGGUAUUCGAUUAAUUUUCAAUAUUA